rnacentral:rRNA from 1 species
UACGGAGGGGGCAAGCGUUGUUCGGAAUUACUGGGCGUAAAGGGCGCGCAGGCGGCUGCUCAAGUCAGGCGUGAAAGGCCUGGCUCAACCCGGGAAUUGCGCUUGAGACUGGGCUGGCUUGAGUGCGGGAGAGGUGAGUGGAACUGCGAGUGUAGAGGUGAAAUUCGUAGAUAUUCGCAAGAACACCAGUGGCGAAGGCGGCUCACUGGCCCGGUACUGGACGCUGAGGCACGAAAGCGUGGGGAGCAAACAGGG